UACGGAGGGUGCAAGCGUUGUUCGGAGUUACUGGGCGUAAAGCGUGCGUAGGCGGUGGUCCAAGUCUGGUGUGAAAUCUCCCGGCUCAACUGGGAGGGUGCGCCGGAAACUGGGCCGCUGGAGUAUGGGAGAGGCAAGCGGAAUUCCAGGUGUAGCGGUGAAAUGCGUAGAUAUCUGGAGGAACACCCGUGGUGCAGACGGCUUGCUGGACCAUAACUGACGCUGAGGCACGAAGGCGUGGGUAGCAAACAGG
rnacentral:rRNA from 1 species